AGAGUUUGAUCAUGGCUCAGGAUGGACGCUAGCGGCAGGCUUAACACAUGCAAGUCGAGGGGCAGCAUGGUCUUAGCUUGCUAAGGCCGAUGGCGACCGGCGCACGGGUGAGUAACACGUAUCCAACCUGCCGUCUACUCUUGGACAGCCUUCUGAAAGGAAGAUUAAUACAAGAUGGCAUCAUGAGUCCGCAUGUUCACAUGACUAAAGGUAUUCCGGUAGACGAUGGGGA
rnacentral:rRNA from 1 species